AGCCCAAGCCCGCUCGAGCUGCUAUACCGCUCUCGUUUUCAGAAGCGACCUGCCAACAACAACAAGUCGGGCAUAUUUGCGGAAUACACCACGCCGCCGUUGACCCUGCAGGCCAUUGACCGAGCAACCCAACGUUCCUACCAGCUCCCUCCGCAGGAAUGAGGCACUCUCAUCCUGAAUAACCGUUCAGCAGGAAGCGGAGAGUGGGAGUGUGCGCGCAGUGAAGGACAGUGGCCUUGAACAAAACCGCCGGCUACUGAAGAAUAUGUACAGCGUUGCCGACCUGCUGGCUUCCCAUGGCUUCAGGUCGGGCAGGAGGCCGACAUCCGGCAGCAGCAGCAGCACACAGCCUCCACUCCGGAUGGAGCCGCCCCGGUCAGGGCUGGAGCAGGGGUUUCCUGGCCAGGAUGUGUGGCACGACGCACCGCCCGCUCCCCGCGCCACACGUCACUCCAGCCUGCCACUACAAGAGCACCCCGCAAGGGCCGAGCCCUCCAGGGAAAGGGCAGAGCUCGUAAGUGAAAAGGCGAACUAUGAAGAGGGGCAAAUGCAGCCCCAA